GCCAGCAGCCAUAUCACCCUGUAGCUCACAACUGGCAACCCACUGAAGCUAAGCAGGCGUGAGCCUGGACAGUACCUGGAUGGGGAGACAUCCUGGGUAAAACUAAGGUUGGUGCUGGAA
rnacentral:rRNA from 1 species